rnacentral:misc_RNA from 1 species
CCCAACAUCAUCAGUCUUCCUCCUCUUCUUCCAUUUCUUUCAAAAUUAAAGUAUUGUUACUCUGCUAUUGGCUCAAAACCUCUGCAAUCUCCGUCUCCUUCAAUUUCAACUCAAGCAAAUCCACCUCUUUCACUAGUUUCAUCACUUUCAGAUCAGGGUUUGGAGUUGAAGGUACGGGGGGCUAAUUGAUGGCGUCGAAGAGGAUAUUGAAGGAGCUCAAGGAUCUGCAGAAGGAUCCCCCCACAUCAUGCAGUGCUGGUCCAGUGGCAGAGGAUAUGUUCCAUUGGCAAGCAACAAUCAUGGGGCCUACCGAUAGCCCUUAUGCUGGAGGUGUAUUUUUGGUUUCAAUUCAUUUCCCUCCAGAUUAUCCUUUUAAGCCUCCAAAGGUUGCCUUCAGAACUAAGGUUUUCCAUCCCAACAGCCCCAGAAUAUGGGCUUU